rnacentral:pre_miRNA from 1 species
UCCACAUUCUGACUGUCAGUCAGUCUACCGAGCAAUUUCAUUCGCUCAGUGGAAGAUCUUCCCUUUGUCGA